UACGGGGGGAGCAAGCGUUGUUCGGAUUUACUGGGCGUAAAGGGCGUGUAGGCGGUUUGUUAAGUCUGGCGUGAAAGCUCUCGGCUAAACCGGGAGAGGUCGUUGGAUACUGGCAGACUAGAGGACGGUAGAGGCGUGUGGAAUUCCGGGUGUAGUGGUGAAAUGCGUAGAGAUCCGGAGGAACACCAGUGGCGAAGGCGACACGCUGGGCCGUACCUGACGCUAAAGCGCGACAGCAUGGGGAGCAAACGGG
rnacentral:rRNA from 1 species